GCCGCGUGUAUGAUGAAAUGCCUUCGGGAUGUAAACUUCUUAAGAACGGGAAGAAUAGGACGGAGCGAACACCUCCGUUGAUGACGGUACCGUUAGUAAGCUCCGGCUAACUCCGUGCCAGCAGCCGCGGUAAUACUUUGGGUGCCCGCCCCCGC
rnacentral:rRNA from 1 species